rnacentral:rRNA from 1 species
CGCAUCUGUGCAUGCAGCAUAUCAAUAAGCGGAGGAAAAGAAACUAACAAGGAUUCCCUUAGUAACGGCGAGUGAAGCGGGAAGAGCUCAAAUUUGAAAUCUUCAAGGUUUUACCUUGACGAAUUGUAGUUUAAAGAAGUGUUUUCUGUUGAAGUUUUGGUAAAAGUUCUUUGGAAUAGGACAUCAUAGAGGGUGAGAAUCCCGUAUUUGACCAUUAUUUUCAGCUGUGUGAUACACUUUCAAAGAGUCGGAUUGUUUGGGAAUGCAGUCCAAAAUGGGUGGUAAAUUUCAUCUAAAGCUAAAUAUUGGCGAGAGACCGAUAGCGAACAAGUACCGUGAGGGAAAGAUGAAAAGAACUUUGAAAAGAGAGUUAAACAGUACGUGAAAUUGUCAAAAGGGAAGCGUUUGACACCAGUGUUGUUUUCUCGAGAAUCAAUUAAAAAGAGUUUGAUUUUGUUGUGUAUUGACCUUAACAGCUUGCAUUUCAAUUUUCUUGCUUUUUUUAAUGCACUUUUCGUUUAACAAGUCAACAUCAGUUUCUUUUGUUGUAAAAAGGUCAUUGGAAGGUGGCUUUCUUUUCGGAGAAAGUGUUUAUAGCCUUUGACUCCUGCAAUCGGAGAGACUGAGGUCUGCAGCGUAGAUCCUUCGGGGUUAGAUACAUUUGUGCUAAGUUAUAGCUUUUUAUAGACAACUUGUUGACUAUGAUUAGUCUUGUAGCUUACUCGCUUAUGCUAUUUUACCUACGCUUAGGAUGUUGAACUCUAUCACACACAG